CAGAGUUGUAAAACUCCCAAACCCAUGUGAACAUACCUCUGUUGCCUCGGCGGCCUACCCGGUAGCUACCCUGUAGUUACCCUGUAGACCGCCGGUGGACAUCAAAACUCUUGUUAUCAAUGUGUUACUCUGAGUAAUUAUUUUAAUAAGUUA
rnacentral:misc_RNA from 1 species